GAUCCUGGCUCAGGAUGAACGCUAGCUACAGGCUCAACACAUGCAAGUCGAGGGGCAGCAUGGUCUUAGCUUGCUAAGGCUGAUGGCGACCGGCGCACGGGUGAGUAACACGUAUCCGACCUGCCGUCUACUCUUGGCCAGCCUUCUGAAAGGAAGAUUAAUCCAGGAUGGCAUCAUGAGUUCACAUGUCCGCAUGAUUAAAGGUAUUUUCCGGUAGACGAG
rnacentral:rRNA from 1 species